rnacentral:rRNA from 1 species
GACGAACGCUGGCGGCGUGCCUAAUACAUGCAAGUAGAACGCUGAAGGAGGAGCUUGCUUCUCCGGAUGAGUUGCGAACGGGUGAGUAACGCGUAGGUAACCUGCCUGGUAGCGGGGGAUAACUAUUGGAAACGAUAGCUAAUACCGCAUAACAGUAGAUAUCGCAUGAUAUCUGCUUGAAAGGUGCAAUUGCAUCACUACCAGAUGGACCUGCGUUGUAUUAGCUAGUUGGUGAGGUAACGGCUCACCAAGGCGACGAUACAUAGCCGACCUGAGAGGGGGAUCGGCCACACUGGGACUGAGACACGGCCCAGACUCCUACGGGAGGCAGCAGUAGGGAAUCUUCGGCAAUGGACGGAAGUCUGACCGAGCAACGCCGCGUGAGUGAAGAAGGUUUUCGGAUCGUAAAGCUCUGUUGUAAGAGAAGAAAGAGGGUGAGAGUGGAAAGUUCACACUGUGACGGUAUCUUACCAGAAAGGGACGGCUAACUACGUG